rnacentral:rRNA from 1 species
AGUGAACGCUGGCGGCGUGCUUAACACAUGCAAGUCGAACGAGAACGGAUUAUAGCUUGCUAUAAUUGUCAGCUAAGUGGCGCACGGGUGAGUAAUGUAUAGGUAAUAUGCCUCUUACUAAGGGAUAACAAAUGGAAACGUUUGCUAAUACCUUAUACUCCUUAUUAACAGAAGUUAAUAAGGGAAAGAUUUAUUGGUAAGAGAUUAGCCUGUAUUGUAUCAGUUAGUUGGUGGGGUAAUGGCUUACCAAGACUAUGACACAUAACUGGUUUGAGAGGAUGAUCAGUCACACUGGAGCUGAGACACGGUCCAGACUCCUACGGGAGGCAGCAGUGGGGAAUAUUGCACAAUGGACGAAAGUCUGAUGCAGCAACGCCGCAUGGAGGAUGACACAUUUCGGUGCGUAAACUCCUUUUAUAUGAGAAGAUAAUGACGGUAUUAUAUGAAUAAGCACCGGCUAACUCCGUGCCAGCAGCCGCGGUAACAC